CGGUUCCUCCCCAGGAUUGGAGCGCAUGCAUUGCCAGAAGAGCUUAAAUGGUCCUGGAACUGUUUUAAAUGGGUUCCCCUCAAAACAAGCCUACACAACAGAAGAAUAAAAUAUAUUCAACAAAAGAAACAGAAUAAGCAUAUCAACCUCAUUCAUUUUUCACUGCAAAUUAGUAAGAUCAAGGAAUUCACUACAAUUCUCCCAGUACCACCACUAAAGCAAAACAUGUUAAUGGCUAAUAAAAAGUAACAUUCCUUUAAAAUAAAGGGAGUGUAAGCAUGCCUAGUGGAAAUUCACCACCUCAUUGUUUUCAAAUACAGCUCUUGGAACAAUUCAACUUACCUUUUGGGAUAUGAAAUGAAUAAGAUAUAAUUUUGUUCUUGUUUUUUUUUCAACAACAGUACCCAAAUCACUUAAAAGAAGCAACUUCUAGAAUUUCAGUGAAGAUCUUCUAGAUUUAUAGCGUCAUUUCAAAGACCAAGAGAAAUUGUCAAUUUUACAAAUCAUGAGAGUCCAAACAACAUAAAACAAAAUAUUCAAUUCAUCUGCGCUUUAAUCCCAACCUAAAUAGUGUUGGCUAUAUAGCACAUUUUUCUGUACUCCAUAUCUUUCUUCUUAAAAGGAGCAAGAUUUAGAAUUUCAGUGAAGGUCUUCUAGUUUUUUAGUCACAUAUUCAAGACCAAGAUAAAUUAUUAAAUUUUCAAAUCACGUGUUCAAAGAAUAAAACAUGAUACUCAAAACAAUUGGGGUUGGCUAAAGGACCAUCUUUAUUCCAUGCCCACCUCUCCAUGCCCACCUGGCUUAGAAAUACAACUUCAGUAAUAUCUAGGGCCAUUAAAUUCUACUUCACUGCUUUCCCCAACAUCAUCCCUAGUAUUCCCUUUCUUUCCUUUCCUUUCUCCUGCAACUUCAAAAAGUUCAACCCUCAAUUUCCUUCCCAACACCAACACUGAAGAAAAACAUGUUAACGGCCAGUGAAAAAAUAAAAUUAUUUUAUAAUUUUUACUCAAUCACUUAUAAGGGGAACUCUUGGAGCUUCACUCAAGUGUCCUCUAAUUCUUGAGUAUCACUUUCAGGGCCACGUGAGAUUGUCAAUUUUACAAAAACAGGUGUAUCAAAACAGAAUAGAACAUAAUAGGAGUUUUUUUUCUCAUGAGAGUCAGAAGCAGCCUGUCAUUCCAUUUUCAGGUUAACACUCAGACAUCAUAGAUACCAUACAAUUACCUAUGCAAUUCAUUUUCAAACCAUUUUCAACAUCAAUUAUUAUACACUUAUUGGAUGUUUUCAUCUUAAAAAUUCACGAUCUCAAUUAUAUUAUUGGCUCGGUCAUGUGUUUUUUCCAGUGAGAAAUUUCACUCGUCUAUGAAAGAAUACUGGCUUCAGGGCUGAAAAUGUUAGUUUUAUAACAGAAAAGAUGCUUAACAUAUAUUUACUAUCCCCAGAUACUCACUAUCUUUAACCAAGAGGCGACCUAAACUAACAUUGACAAGUCCUUCA
rnacentral:misc_RNA from 1 species